ensembl:lncRNA
CCCCCCCAGGACCUGCUUGACCUUCAACUGACCUUCUGCCCUGCUGUGUCUGCCCGCCCCCCCCCCCCAGCCCCCACCUCUUCGUUCAUCUCUCCAUCUCCUAUUGGCUGAGGCUCUGAAACUCUCCUGGCUGCACCACUUCCUGGGUCCAGCUGCUGCAGGCCCCGCCCCCCCCUGGGGCCUCGACGGACAGCUGCUGGGGGCGAAUGUGAGCGAAUCGGGUGGGUGGGUUGCUGGAGGUUAAAGCUUUACGGGGAGGCGCUGCAAGUCUCAGCCUCAGCCUUGAGUUCGGUUCUCUCCAAACGCCACAUCCUCCAACGGCCGACGGAACAUCACUGUGGGUUCGAUUAUUCCAAAAAAAAAACAAAGAAGAGAAAACAAAUCUACAUAGAGAAACAUUUUGGCACUUUUUAUUUUAAAAGCCAUAUUAUAUUUGUUAUGAAAAAAAAAGAAACAAUCAAAUAGAGUGAACAGAAAGCUUUUUUUCUGUCUUUGAUUUCUUUCUCUCGCUCUCUCUCUCUCUCUCUCUCUCUCUCUCUCUCUCUCUCUCUCUCUCUCUCUUAUUUUAGCCCCCAUCUUGUCAAUCCCCAUCUUGUCAAUCUGCCUGUUCCCACUUCAGUUACCUGAUCAGCUCUGUCAUACACGUCCCCUCAGACACACACACACACACACACACACACACACACACACACACACACACACACACACACACACACACCUGCUAGCUGAUGAUGACAGUACUCUAUGAGAAGAAUAUCACAAAGGUAGUCAACACCGAUGGCGAUCACAAAGGUAGUCAACACCGAUGGCGAUCACAAAGGUAGUCAACAGCGAUGGCGAUCACAAAGGUAGUCAUGCCGAUCACCGAUGGCGAUCACAAAGGUAGUCAACACCGAUGGCGAUCUCAAAGGUAGUCAACACCAAUGGCGAUCACAAAGGUAGUCAACACCGAUGGCGAUCACAAAGGUAGUCAACACCGAUGGCGAUCACAAAGGUAGUCAACACCGAUGGCGAUCACAAAGGUAGUCAACGCCGAUGGCGAUCACAAAGGUAGUCAACGCCGAUGGCGAUCACAAAGGUAGUCAACACCGAUGGCGAUCACAAAUACUCCCCUGCUCUCAUGCGAGGAAUCUUCAUCAAAUGCCAAGAAUUUGUUGUGGGAGGAUCGAGGGAGACUCGUUCAGAAGUGAAAUGGUGAUGGGAAAAGGGGGAAAGGUGUAUUAUAUACUUAGAUCGUAGUUUUAGUGGGUUUACUCGCACACAUCCAGGCAUGCUGUAGAGCGAGAUUGUUGCAUCUUUUUAGUCUGUGUGUGUGUGUGUGUGUGUAGGUAUGUAAGUGUAUGUAUGUACGUGCGUGCGUGAGUGAUGUGUUUGUUGAGCCGGCCGAUGUUAGAGGAACAAGACACGCAUUAAAAAUGUCACAUUUGUCACAAAUGUCACAUAAAGGAAACAAUUUCUUGAACCCUGUCAAAUAGCCCUGAUGUAAGUGUCGUAUCUCGAGCAUAUCCUUAUCAAAUUGAGUGAGGUUGUUUACAUACCGUGGCUCAAGCAAGCCCCCCCAUUACAUAUGUUGGAGGAGCUGAACAGUAAUGUAUCGCAUCCUCUGGCCAAAACCCACUCUGAUAGGGCUGAGUCGGCGUUUAUUUAAUGUGACAUUUGAAAGCUUUAUAUAGCCCUGAGCCCUCUCCUUCAGAAGGGCACUAAAUCCCCCAAAAUACACAUCCAAUGGCUGGACUAGUCCUCCGCCACAUGAUUUACACACACACACACACACACACACACACACACACACACACACACACACACACACCAUUCACGCAUGCCAUCACACACACACACACACACACACCAUUCACGCAUGCCAUCACGCACACACACACACACACCCUUCGGAUUCCGAGGCAAAGCGGACUGCUUGCAUGCACUACUUCUAACCCUUAUGAAUUAGAGGUUGGGGAAGCACAAUGUGAUUGUAGUCGUUAGGACGCGUUCCCCUUGUUUACGUUCUCCACGCCGCUCACUCGGUGGGCCGGCGGUCUCUGCAGAAGCUUGAAGCCAUAUCUGUGUUCCGUGUGUGUGUGUGUGUGUGUGUGUGUGCGUCUGUGUGUGUGUGUGUGUGUGUGUGCGUCUGUGUGUGUUCCGUUCCGUGUGUGUCUGUGUGCGUGUGUGCGUCUGGGGUGGGUCUAUGUUUCUAAAUGUGUCUGGGCCCUGUCUGCUGUUAGCGGGAGAGAGGUGAGACGGUCUGUCUGUCUGUCUGUCUGUCUGUCUGUCUGUCUGUCCGUCCCUCUCUCCCUCCGUCUACCUGUCUGUGGAGAGCAGGGUAGGCCAGGUGACUGGUAUCCAUGGGCAACGGGAAGCACAAUCAAAUCACCCAACUCCCUAUGGGUCAGCACACCCUCCAGGGCACGGCUUUGAGCAUGUGUGUGUGUCUGUGCGUGUGUGUGUGUGUGUGUGUGUCUGUGUGUGUGUGUGUGUGCAUGUGUUUGUGUGCAGGCAUGUUGGCCAGGACUGACGUUCUCACAGCUGACCUUGCCGGGCCGGGUCGGGUCGACGGCACCAACUGACUUGGUGUAUGACGUGACGGGGGGUCUCACAGACGUGACGGGGGGUCAAACAGACGUGACGGGGGGGUCACGGAGGCUCUCUGGGCGGCUGCUAGAGGAAGCUAGCGAGGGGUUUAUGGAGUUUACACACGUUCACAUGUUCACAUGAAUUAGGUUUCAGCUCGGGUCCCUGGUGAGCAUGGGCUUGCGGUGUGUGUGUGUGGCAAGCCAAUAUGGAUAAGUGUGUGUGUGUGUGUGUGUGUGAAAUGAAGUGCAAAAUCAAUGACCUCACAAAUGAUCCCUCUUCCGAUUGGUCCAGAUCAAUAUCAUCAUUAAUCCAUUUUCAACAUCUCAACCCUUACCAUCAAGGGUCAUGGAAUCUCACUCCGAUCGUCCUCUGCGCGCGCACACACACACACACACACACACACACACACACACACACACACACACACACAGGUAUGUUAAAUUAGGCAUCCUGUAGAACCCUCUCCACCCAGUCCCACGUCCCUCUCUCUCUCGUUUCAGGGCUGUUUUCUUAUCACUCUUUUUCUUUGUCAUCGGAACAUCCCUUUCUUUUUUUCCUUUCUUUUUAAGUUAGUGUUUUGGUCUUUUGUUUUCUUGUUGUUGUUUUUUUUUAUAUAAAAAAAAUAUAUCAAAUAUAAGGAACUAUUCAACGCGGGUGUUGCAUGAAUGUAUGUUUACAUGGGGAAAUUAUAUAAAAAUGACAUUGAGAAAAAAAAAAAAUACAAAGGCAAAAAUUAUUUAUGAGACAUGGACUCUCCGGUCGCUGAGGGCGAGGUUUGCCUGCUGCCCCCUUCCCAUGAUGCUCGGGUCUGAUGACCUUUGACCCCUCGUGUCACACCCCUUUGUCCCCUCUCCACUGUCCUCUCCUCUCCAGUGUGUGGACCAUGUCCUCUAGGUUACCCAUAAUGCCGUUCCAUAUUGUCUACUGGUCCCUGCCUUCUCUCUACUUCGUGUUGGUCUAUAAACAUUAUAGAACACUGUCAUGUGCUCUGGCAACUCAAGCCAAGCAACGUUUCUACUAAAUGACUUUAAGGCACAAAUAUAGAGCAGCAGUUAUAACCACUUCCAGCCGUCUCGAUGUGUGAAGUGGAGAAAGGUGCUGGCAGUCUAAAUCGGACCCUUAAACGACCCAGUAUCCGUGUUCUAGUUGAGCCUGCUUGACUUCACAUGGUCAGUGGGGUUUGGUUUCGUCCCCAUUCGGGUCAGGAUGGCCCACAGCCAGACGAGCGGACGGACAUGGAAGGCAGGGAUAGGCCCAACCUCCCCCUCUGUGCGUGUGAGACUGUGUGUGUGUGUGUGUGAGUGAGUGUUUAGUGUGUCUGCGUGUGUGAGUGUGUGUGUGUGCUAUGAGCAUGUUUCGGGAAGACCUCCUGAGUGCACGAUUGCCCCCCCCCCCCAGUCCUACUUGUUUACCUCCCUCCCUGACCUCACUGACCUCCCUCCCUGACCUCCCUCCAUCCUCCAUCCGUCCACCUCUCUCCUGUGUUGUCCUCCAGCAGUCGUUUUGUUUUGGUACCGCCCCCCCCCCCCCCCCCCUUUCUCUACCAAACCACAUGUAUUUAGUUUUGGGUUGUGUGCAUUCUUUUACAUCUUUUACAUGUUUUUAUCAUCCUGUUUGUGCGCACUUACGAUGAAAGCGGUCACACAAAGAAAAGGCAAAGAGAGUUAUGCAGGAUCCUUGAUUGAAUUAUCAGUUUGUUUUCUUCAUUCUACUUCUUAGGUUCUUUCAUCGCUUUUGUUCCCCCCCCCCCCAUUGGCAUCGGAUGCUGUAAUGUUGGAAGACUAUAAAAAUGAAAAAUGUAAAAUCCUGUAUCAUUUAAAGAAAUGUGUAUAAAAGAGAAAUGUAAUUCAGUUAUCAAUAAAAUACUU